CACCGGCGGCUCGAGUGGUGGCCACUUUUAUUGGGUCUAAAACGUCCGGAGCCGGCUUGGCAAGUCCCCUGGGAAAUCUGGCGGCUUAACCGUCAGGCGUCCAGAGGAUACUGCCAGGCUUGGGACCGGGAGAGGUGAGAGGUACCUCAGGGGUAGGGGUGAAAUCUUGUGAUCCCUGAGGGACCACCAGUGGCGAAGGCGUCUCACUAGAACGGGUCCGACGGUCAGGGACGAAAGCUGGGGGCACGAACCGG
rnacentral:rRNA from 1 species